rnacentral:piRNA from 1 species
GGAGAUAGACAGGCCUCGUUUGCCAUG